GAGAGCCUUAUGCGGUGAAAGCUGCACGUAGGGUUCGGUGGGAGGUUGUUGUGGUCUCGAACUGCUAGUCCGAGAUAUGGCAACCCACCCAAU
rfam:Candidatus Thiomargarita nelsonii contig_2001, whole genome shotgun sequence.